ACUCCUACGGGAGGCAGCAGUGGGAAUUUUGGAUCAAUGGACGCAAGUCUGAUCCAGCCAUGCCGCGUGCGGGAAGAAGGCCUUCGGGUUGUAAACCGCUUUUGUCAGGGAAGAAAAGGUUCCUUCUAAUAAAGGGACUCAUGACGGUACCUGAAGAAUAAGCACCGGCUAAACUACGUGCCAGCAGCCGCGGUAAUACGUAGGGUGCAAGCGUUAAUCGGAAUUACUGGGCGUAAAGCGUGCGCAGGCGGUUGUGCAAGACAGGUGUGAAAUCCCCGGCGUUAACCUGGGAACUGCACUUGUGACUGCACGGCUAGAGUACGGUAGAGGGGGAUGGAAUUCCACGUGUAGC
rnacentral:rRNA from 1 species